rnacentral:rRNA from 1 species
UACGUAGGUGACAAGCGUUGUCCGGAUUUACUGGGCGUAAAGAGCGCGCAGGCGGUCGAUCAAGUCGAGUGUGAAAGCCCCCGGCUCAACUGGGGAGGGUCAUUCGAUACUGAUCGACUCGAAGGCAGGAGAGGGUAGUGGAAUUCCCGGUGUAGUGGCGAAAUGCGUAGAUAUCGGGAGGAACACCAGUGGCGAAGGCGACUACCUGGCCUGUUCUUGACGCUGAGGCGCGAAAGCUAGGGGGGCAAACGGG